GGCUGUGCCCAGGGAGCGGAAGAAGCUGGUCUGGCAAUCCUCGUGGCAUGUGAAGAGGCGGUCCUCGGUGAUCACCAGGCAGCAAGGGAUACAGGGGCUGGGAGCCACCCCCUGCGGUAUGACCUGGAUGGCAGCAGGGUCUCAUGUAGCCCAGGCUAGCCUGGAACUUGUUAUGUAGCAGAGGAUGACCUGGAACUUCUGACUCUCCUGCUUCUACCUCCCACACUGGACUAGAAAUGUGCACCUGGUUAUAAUGACAACCCAUCUCUCCAGAAUUGCCAAGACUGCCUUGGAUACCCAAGCAAAGCCAGGAUUUUACUAUGUAGCCCUGUCUGGCCUGGGAUGACCAGCAGUGCUCUGCCUCAGGAAGAAAAGUGAUUACAGCUCUUUCAGGGGCACACGAGGGAUGUGCCUCAGCUUUCCUGAGAUCGGAGCCCAGCGCUCGGGAGAAGGGCACCAUGCCUACAGACCGCACAGAGGAAUCCCACAGGGACAGAGGUCUUCAACCCCUUUCUUCCCCUUAGCACUUGUAGCUGCUUGUGGGGGUUCACGAGCGGCAAGUGACCAGACACCAGAACACAGUGAGUGUUCAGCCUGGAUGCCUGGCCAUUCUAUAGAAGCUUAAGACCAGAGAGCACCCUACUCGACCAUGCUCACGGCCCCACGUUUGGAGUUCCCCCCAAGUCCUGCUUUCCUCCAGAUUCAAGGAGACAGUGGGCCUUAGCUCGGCAAGCUGACACAGCGGGCCAGGGAACUCUUCAGGACUGGCAACUUGGGAAGUCACUAACGUGGUGAAUCUAGCCCUGCCUGGGCCUGGCCCAGCACGAGCAAGCUGGGCUAUUAGUUCCUGGGUGAGAUUUAAGGAGGGACGUAAGGACCCCGGAGGAUGGUCAGAAGGUCAUGGCCUGCCUGGCAGAUGACUGUAGAAUGGGUUAGUGGUUAGAAUCAGAGGGGAAAAACCAACGCUGACGUUACGCUUCAGAGCGGCUAAGAGGAGAAAAGAGGUGGAAUUCCGGCCUCAUGCUACCUGUCCUCAAACACAAACUGCUCAGUGCCACCUUCUUGGCCAAAUGACACAAUUUACUGAAAUGUUGGACCCCACAUCUCUCAAAAUUAAGCUAGUUCAUCAUAUGGGAAGUCACCUCUCAUCCACUGCUCAGAGGGAACCCCACCUCAGGCAAGAAGGGGUCCCCAGGGAAAAAGCUCUUUCAGAAGGGAGUCCAGGCCAGCCUCAGACAGAAGGCACAAACAUACCGUCUGAAACACAGACCCUACUCUGAGUAAGUCCUGCAACCUGGGAGUCGCUGUGUGGAUUUGUCCAAACCAGCUGUGGGCCACAGGCAGAAGAGCUCAAUGCUGACACCCAGUGGACAACAUAGGAAGCGAAUCCACUUUAAAACUCAAAGCACCAUCCAUUGACAUACUUAUGGAGCUUGUGCAUGUAUGUAGAGGUCAGGGGGUGCUGUGCAUGGAUGUAGAGGUCAGAAGCUACCUCAUGGCUUCCCCGGACAGAAUUCACAUGGUCACAUUUGGUGGCCAGGGCUUCUACGUGCCAAGCCCUGGCAUUUGCUGGCUCCUCCCUGUAGGGAGUUUGAGCUUAGCGUGGGCAGUUUCCUCACUUGGACCUCAGUCCAUUAGGGGUGGCCUGACAGGAUCAAGCCUCCAUCUUUCCCCUGGUUGCUCAUGGGGUAGAAGUGAGCUUACAAUCCCUGCAUCUCAAAGCGUCACUUUUCUAGAACAGGUUUACACUCCACUGAGCCAGGCCACUCACAUGUACCAUUAGUGUAAUGCCUGGGACUGGAAUCAGGAAACAGGCACUUAGUGACUCCUGGGGCCCCCGUGGGAAGGCGGGACACUCCCUGAGAGAAGGGCUCCUGGGCUAAGGGCCAAGUCCCCUACUGCAGAAUUCCACCUACUCCAGCACCAGCUGUGGCGCUGCUAUGACCACAGGCACUGUUAAAGUAAUAAGGAGCUGAUUCUGAAACAUGCAGCAAGCUUGGCGUGGAAACGUUGCAAACAGGAAAAGAGGCUCACAGGACUCUGUCCCACCUUCCCAGUCUGUGCUGGGUACAGACGGCACUGCUGGAAACACAUCUCCAAAAUCAUAAUCUACAAAAAUGAGGGACAAAACUCAGGAUUAGAAACCGGCAGAGGCAGGUGGUUGGGGGCAAGGGGCAGGAGACACGGGAGGAGAGAGAGGAGGGGAGAGCUUUGUUCAGGGUCUCUAAGGUUCACCUGUGACCUCAGCUGUCCUGAAGGCCACGCCUUCCUAACCCAGGCCGGUUCUGGCAGAGAAGCUGAGUUUCCGUGAACUAACCAUGCUCUCUACUCCCUGCCUUCCUCCCCAUGUGGCCCUUGAGGUAAUGACAUCCUGGCUUGGGUUAGACAGUAUGACUUGCUGGGCUCGGGGGCCACCUCCAUUCAUAGAUGACCUGGUUGCUCCUUCAAGGUCUGUCCCUCUGACUCCCCCUCCAGGGUAGCCCAGAGGCCUACCAGAGGAGACUUUUACCACCAAAUAAGCAGUGCAAGUAUUAUUAUUAUUAUUAUUAUUAUUAUUAUCUUGAAACACAUUUUUCACGUAGCCCAGGCUGGUGUUGAAUUUGCUCCAUAAUAGAGACUGGCCUAGAACUUUUGAUCCUCCUGACUACCUCCCAAGUGCUAGGGUUAAAGGUAUGCGCCACCUGUGUGUGUGUGUGUGUGUGUGUGUGUGUGUGUGUGUGUUGUGUACAAACAGGAUUGAAUGCACCACGGUAUGUGUGUGGAGAUCAGAGAACAACCUUAAAAAGGCAGUUCUGUCCUUAUGUGGUGGGUUCCCAGGAUCAAGGUCAGGAUGUCAGGCUUGUGUGGGGUGGCAAGCGCUUUUGAGCCACGAGGCCAUCUCACCAGCCCAAGCUUGGCUUUAUGCAGUGCUGGGGCUUGAACCAGGGCUUCAUAUGCACUGCACCAGUGGCCUACCCCGAGCUUCACUGCUAGAACCCGCAAUGCAGAGCUUGCUGGCAGCAGGCCUGAAAGCGGGACACAUGACCCACAGCAGAGCAGAAAUCAAGACCAAGGAAGGUCAGGUCUCAGGUGAGCUGAGUGAGUGUUCAGAACUCCCCUCACCCACAGAGGUGAGGCUGGCUGAAUGAGGGCAUCCUUGAUCUCACUGGAGUGGGCCUAUGGCCAGUUUAAUGAGUGCUAAGGCCUACAGUCUAAGGAGAGCCAGGGCUUUCUAGAAACUGAUCCGAGAUGAAAGGACGUGCCUGCGGCUCCGAAGUCUCAGGAGGGACAGCUGCAGUCCUCUCUGGCCCAUGGAGGGGCCCUAAGAGGGACUACCCAAGAAACCAUGAGGGUUCCUGCCCCCUUAGAUGGCCUGCCUGUCUCUCCCAGGCUUGCUCAGCCUCUCUGGAGAGCCUGCUGCAGGACAACCUUCCCCAGGCAGCUGAUCUCAGCCAGGACUCAGGCAAGAGUUUCUAGGGCACAUUUCUGUGAAUCUCUCCUUGCCCCUGGGCAUGAGGUUAGAAACUUUGGAAAAGUUAGCAAGGUUCAUAAAGCCAAAUUUUUGCCCCCCCCUUUUUAAGAUUUAUUUAUUUGUUUGUUUGUUUGUUAUGUCUGCAAUGUUCUGUCUGCAUUUACACCUGCACACCAGAAGAGGACACCAGAUCUCUUUAUAGCUGCUUGUGAGUCACCAUGUGGUUGCUGGGAAUUGAACCCAGGAUCUCUGACCUCUGGAAGAACAGCCAAUGUUCUUAACCUCGGAGCCAUCUCUCCAACCCACCAUUUUUUGUUUUUUGUUUUUGUUUUUUUUUUGUUAGAAGCUAGCACUGAAACUGAGGAAAUGAAGAUCUUGGAAAUAGCAACUACAAAUCCCAAACACCAGAGAGAUGUCAUCGCUCAGCCAGGCUCAGGAAGCUCCAGAGACCACUCAGGGCACAGGCCUGCCUCCUUCUGCCCUGGAGCCACUUACCCUCGCUAGAUGGGGCGAUCGCACUGUCAUCCCAUUCCAGGUUGGUGGAGGUGACAGAGUUGAAGGAGUUGAGGGACAGGCUGUCUGAACCAUGGACGGAGCUGGGAAGGCGGUCUUCAAAGUCCAGCAGAUACUGCGGUUUAUAGUAGUCAGGCAUGUAGGGGGCCAGGUCUAAGUAAGGGGCAUCCUGGGAAGAGAGCAGAGGAAGAGAGGGAAGGAGGGUAAGACCUGGGGGACAGCCAGAAACAAGGGUUAGCAAGCAAGCAGUCAUCAGCAUCAGGAUGGGAAAAAUGGGGAUCUCACUCUCACACACACACACAGAUACACAUGACAUACAGACACAGACAAGCACAUCAUACAUCACACACCACACACACACACACACACACACACACACACACACACACAGAUACAUAUGACAUACAGACACAGACAGGCACAUCAUACAUCACACACCACACACACACACACACACACACAGAGAUACAUAUGACAUACAGACACAGACAGGCACAUCAUACAUCACACACCAUACACACACACACACACACACACACACCAUACACACACACACACAGAUAUAUAUGACAUACAGACACAGACAGACAAGCACAUCAUACAUCAUACACCAUACAUACACAUACACAGAUACAUAUGACAUACAGAUACAGACAGACAGGCACAUCAUACACCAUACACACACACACACACACACACACACACACACACACAGAUACAUAUGACAUACAGAUACAGACAGGCACAUCAUACACACACACACACACACACACACAGAUACAUAUGACAUACAGAUACAGACAGGCACAUCAUACAUACACAUACAUACACCACACCACACAGGUACACACAGAUGGACAGACACACCAUAUACAGCUACACAUGACAUAUGCAGAGACAGACAUACACAGACACACACUCCAUACACCAGACAGAUGGACAGAGAGACCAUGCUCCUUUCUUAGGGAAAUCAGUGUGCUUCAGGAGUUAACUAGGAAAUGCCUGCCGCGGGAGUAAAGACCCGUUCUAAAGCCUCGGAGUGGGGGUGUGAGGUGUGCCGCCAGAGCAGCUCCUGUCUGAAGUCGUGCAAGACUUGAGCUCCAUCAGCUCCACAGCAGCCAGAGCCCAGCUGGACCAUCUACAUUCCUUGAUAGAUCACGGCAUUAGAACCUCUCCCCUUCUCUGGUUUCUACCACUGCCAAACCCCAGCCUCUGCCUGGCGAUGGAGGGAACAGGGAGGGGUGUGUGACUAGAAUGGGGCCGCUCCUCUAGUCUUGUGGAACCCAGGUCUGUGGGCUGCUCUGGCCUCUCUGGGGUCAACAUGGUCCUCAUACAGCCAUCUCUCUCCUCAGAGUUGCAGUCUUGCUGUUUUUGACUUCUUACCAUAGUCUGAAAAUACUAAAUGGGAACUUCCAGAAAUAAAUGGCCCUGCUUGGAGCUGCCCUCUGUACACACUGAGGUCUGAAAGGCAGUGGGUCACCUGCUCCGAUGGUUUUCCUGCCAGAGGCUGACAUGGACGUUGAAUGUGCAUGAGGAACAUGGCCAGAUUGAGGUGUGUGCCAGGUUCAUGUCAAGCCCUAUGCCAAGAAGGACACUUCCCAGGGCUGGAGAAAGGGACAGGGAAAGGAGAGAGAAGGGGAAGGAGAGAAGACUGAAAUCACAGAGGAGGCGUCCUGAAGCAUCCCAGCCCACCAGGCUGAUGUAGUCAGGGAGCUCAGCCUAAUCGACCCUCCGUCCCUGCCACCUUUCCAGUGACCCACAUGGAAAACGUAAGGCAGGAGCAGCAAUCCCUGAACACUGGGGUGGGUUGAAGCUCCGGGCCACUAAGUUCUCAAGUGUUUUCUGGAAGCGGCAGCCGAGAUGCAUCAGCCACACCGGGGAGCAUGUGCUGCUGGAGGGAGGCCAGCCAUUCAAGGCUGCAACAAAAACAGUCUCUUCUCUGUGACCCGGAGCAGGCCCAGCAGCCUGGCUGACCAGAGAAAAGUCAGUCCCGAAGGGUCAGCCCCCUUCUCAUGCAGGCAGAAGGGGCAGAGAGAGGAAAGCCUUCUAGAGGGGUCAUAUGGACUAACCCACGAUGUGGCACACUGCCUGUUGGCAAUGGCUGAAGGUGUUUUGUUUUUGUUUUAAAUGAUUUCCAGCUGGCUACUUUAAACUUUAUUUAUUUAUUUAAUGUAUAUGAGUGCUUUAGCUAUAUGUAUGUCUGCGUACCACAUGUGUGCCUGGUGCCCAAGGUGACCAGAAUUGGUGCUGGAAAUUGAACUCAAGACCUCUGCAGGAGCAGCCAGUGCUCUUAACCCCUGAGCUAUCUCUCCAGCCCCAACUUUAGUGUUACAUCACACUGUCACCUCAGUGCCACGCUAUGCUCUCUCAGUCUUCUAUCCCUGUCUACACCAAGACAAGGUCUCACUCUAUACCUCAGGCUGGCCUCAAACUCAUGAUCCUCCUGCUUCAACCUCCCAUGUGCUGGGACUACAGAUGUGCACCACCACUUCUGGUCUGCUUGCCAUUAUUAUUAUUAUUGUUGUUAUUAUUAUUAUUGACAGGGUCUUAAGGUAUAGGUCUGACUGGCCUGGACUCAUCAGGCCAUGGUGGUUCGAGCUUACAGAGGUCUGCCUGCCUCUGCCUCCAAAGUGCUGAGAUCAAAGGUGUGCAUCACCUCAACAGCUUUUUUUUAAAGACUUAUUUAUUUAUUAGUCAUACAGUGUUCUAUUCUGUCUGCAUGUAGGCCUACACACCAGAAGAGGGCACCAGAUCUCAUUAUAGAUGGUUAUCUUGUGGUUGCUGGGAAUUGAACUCAGGACCUUUGGAAGAACAGCCAGUGCUCUUAACUGCUGAGCCAUCUCUCCAGGUCCUCACCAGCUUUUUGAUUGACUUCUUGUAGUUCUUUGUUGUUGUGUAUUAUUGUCUCCAGAGCUUUUUUCCCCUAUUGAGAAAAUCUUCAUUUCACAUACUCAAAUUUGUCAGUAGUUUCCUUUAAAAGUUCUUGU